rnacentral:rRNA from 1 species
GCUUACGCCAUACCACCUGAGACACCCGAUCUCGGAAGUAAGCAGGGCGGGCCUGGUUAGUACUUGGAUGGGAGACCGCCUGGGAAUACCAGUUGCUGUAAGCU